GGUCCCAUAACUCAGUUGGUUAGAGUGUCGUACUAAUAUCAUAAUUCGAUUAUAAUAUCGGUCAUGCGAAAGUCGUGAGUUCGAGCCUCACUGGGACCA
rnacentral:tRNA from 2 species